rnacentral:rRNA from 1 species
UACGUAGGGUCCGAGCGUUGUCCGGAAUUACUGGGCGUAAAGAGCUCGUAGGUGGUUUGUCGCGUUGUUCGUGAAAACUCACAGCUUAACUGUGGGCGUGCGGGCGAUACGGGCAGACUUGAGUACUGCAGGGGAGACUGGAAUUCCUGGUGUAGCGGUGGAAUGCGCAGAUAUCAGGAGGAACACCGGUGGCGAAGGCGACGUGCUGGGCUGAACCUGACGCUGAGAUGCGAAAGUGUGGGGAGCAAACGGG